rnacentral:rRNA from 1 species
UACGUAGGGGGCUAGCGUUGUCCGGAAUCAUUGGGCGUAAAGAGCGUGUAGGCGGCCCGGUAAGUCCGCUGUAAAAGUCAAAGGCUCAACCUUUGAAUGUCAGUGGAUACUGCCGGGCUAGAGUCCGGAAGAGGCGAGUGGAACUCCUGGUGUAGCGGUGGAAUGCGCAGAUAUCAGGAGGAACACCGAUUGCGAAGGCAGCUCGCUGGGACGUAACUGACGCUGAGACGCGAAAGCGUGGGUAGCGAACAGG